ensembl:lncRNA
CUCCGUACCGGGGCCGCGUCCAGGUCUCCCCCAGCGACUCCCACAGCGACAUCUCCUUGGGGACCAGAUGGCCGCGCAGGAAGCCCACGGCGUCGCGGGAGAGCCCAGGGCUGGUGACCGAGCGCGCGAGGUCCGGGCCUCCGCAGGUGUUGACGAUCUGGGGCACAGCGCGGGUCAGAUCGCGGCCCACACAGCCGCCGGUGCGAGCUCCGAGCUCUGCAGGAGGGCGCGGGGCAGGGACCACGCCCUGGGCGGCCGGGGACAGGGCCACGCAGACGCGCGCCUGGCGCUGCCCCGUCACCCAGACCCGUUCCUCGGCCCCACCCACAACCGGCCCCGCCCACUCCCAUCCCCUGGCCUCGGGCCCCGCCCCGCCCCGCCCCAGGCACCAGGUCCAGCGGGCCGAAGAGGAAGUGCACCAGCUCCGCGGCGCUGGGGUUCUGGAUGUGCUUUUGCAGCUUUGCCUGGCGGGGCGAGGACAGGGCAAGCACCGCCCGCGGCUCCUCAUCCUGCGAUUCCCGGCGACGGAAGCCUGCUGGGGACAGAGCAGCUGUGACGAGGGCCCCUAGGCCCCGAGAGCCACCCGACCAGCCCCGCGGCCUACCUGGGUCUUGGGGCGGCACCGGGGGCCCACCCGGUUCUUGGCAUGAGGGGAGUCCCCUGCCCGGUCCUGGAAGGGGAUGGGGGCUGGGCCCUGGAGGGGGGGCAGGAUGGACUGCCGCUGCCGGAUCUUCUCCUGGUGUCCCCUGAAGCGGAAAUGGGGGCCAGUCAGCCUGGCCGCCACCCACACUGGGCUGCCCCACACUGGGCUGCCCCGCACUGUCCCUGCCCCUGCACUCCAGCCUAGGGAGACCCUGGGCCCUACUUCAGGGUCUGCGGCCGCAUCUUCUUCCCCAGCCGGCAGUCGGCCAGUGCACUCUCGAUGUCCUCCUGCACCAGCUCAGCCUGGGGACACAGGGGCGUCAGGCUCACCCAGCGUGCACCGUGCCGCCCGCCCUGGGGCCUGCUGGCUCACCUCCACCUCGUCACAGUGGAAGAAAUGGAUGUCGGGCUUGUUCUGCUCGGAGUCCUGGCACACCAGGAGCAGCACUGAGGGACAGGCCCUGACACACAGCCGGCCCAGAGGACAGCGGCCCAACCUCCACCCACCCAUACCUGCGUCUCGAUGUCCAGCAGCCGCACUGACUGGUCGCUGACCUGCAGCAGCAUCUCCUGGGCCCAGACCUUCUCCUUGGAGCUCAGCUGCACCAACUUCCGGAUGGCGUCGUCCACGGAGGUGAUGGCCUCACUCUUGUCCAUGAUGAACGUGGCCAGGUGCUGGGGGAAGGCAGGUGGGCACGGCACUCCUGUGUCCACCAGGCCCAAGGAGAGGCAGCCCGGGGGACUGAGGGCCCCAGCCAACCCUAAGGAGUCCAUGGGGGGGCGGUCUGUAUUCUGCCCUAGUGGAUUCUUUGAGGGGUCAUGGUUGUGCACUGAUAAAGCCCUCAAAAAAAACUUUUAGACCGCUUCUCCCCACCCCUGCCACUGCACUCCAGGGCAGCCCUGCCCUCGAGUCCCAGCUUCCACAGACCCUGUCUCAAAAUAAGAAGAGCUAUGGAUGCAGCUCAGUGGUACAGCACUUGCCUAAUGUGCAGGAGACCCUGGGUUUGAUGCCCAGCACUGGAGGGAGAAAAAAAGCUAGAAAAUUAAAGAAAGCCCAAAGUAAGUGGAAGGAAGGAAAUUAAAAGAAAAAAAAAAAAAGGUCUACGAACUAGUAAACAGAAAACCAGUAAAGAAAACCCAAAGUCCAAAAUUCAUUCUAAGAUUAAUAAAACUGAUAAACCUCUAGGAAGAAUAAUUAAGAACAAUACUAGAGAAAACACUAAAAGGAAGGACGGAUCUUAUAGGCACAUAAGCGAAUUAAGGAGCAAAAAACCUCCCACAUGAGAAAGUUGUACUCAGAGGGCCCUACUGGUGAAUCCUGGCAAAUAUUUAAGGAAAAAACACAACACACUUUCCUUCUGAUGUAUAAGGUGAACACAGCCAUGACGCCCACCCUGCCAAAGGUAACGCAAAAGAAAGAUACAGAUGAAUCUCUUCAAUGGACAUUGAUGCAAAAAGUCUUCAGCUGGGCUGGGGAUUUAGCUCAGUGGUUCUGGCACCUGCCUUGCAAGCGCAAGGUCCCGAGUUUGAUCCCCAGAACCAAAAAAAAAAGUACCUCUACACACACACAGCAGACAAAACAUCGAAUGCUUUCUCCUAAGACUGAAGAAGGCAGGGGCGUCCACUCUGUCCCUUUUACUUAGCACUGUACUGGUGAUACUAACCAGGGAAAUGAGGCAAGAGAACACAUAAAAGGUACAAAAGGAACAAAGAAUGAUUUUUAUUUUUUUUGGUACAGGGAUCGAACUCAGAGGCAGGCAGCAGAACCACUGAGCUAAAUCCCCACCCAGUGAUUUUCAUUUCUGACAACGUGAUUGUGCAGCAUGCACAGAAAUGAAUCUAAAGCACAUCACCAACAGACAAAACGCCUCCACUACCAAGCAAAGCAUCCAACAGAAGACACAGAAAGGAGGAUUCAGAGUCUUGGCCAGGCAACAAUUUCUUAGGAGACAAAAAUCAACCAACCAACAAAACCAUAAAAGAGAUUUUUAAAAAUGAGUACGACUGGACGUCAUCAAAGUUGAACACUUCUGCUCAUUAAAAGACAGCCCACCAGGUGACAAGCCACGGACUGGGAGAAGAUGUUUCUAAUUCAUGCUUCUGACUGUGAAGGUGAAGAGCCCCCCAGAACUAGGAGCGACUCCAUGAGGUACAGAAGAGACACUGGGCCUGCCCAGCUGGCAGAGGCCCACACCACAGAGCCCAGUGCAGCUGACGAGUUCUUCUCGGCAGUCUUCUUCUUUUUUUUUUUUAUUUUUAUUUUUUUGUUACCGGGGAUCGAACUUGGGUCUUUGUGCUUGUGUAGCAG